rnacentral:rRNA from 1 species
UACGUAGGGACCGAGCGUUGUCCGGAAUCAUUGGGCGUAAAGCGCGUGUAGGCGGCCAGAAAAGUCCGCUGUGAAAACUUGAGGCUCAACCUCAAGACGUCGGCGGAAACCAUCUGGCUAGAGUCCGGAAGAGGAGAGUGGAAUUCCUGGUGUAGCGGUGAAAUGCGCAGAUAUCAGGAAGAAUAUCCGUGGCGAAGGCGGCUCUCUGGGACGGUACUGACGCUGAGACGCGAAAGCGUGGGGAGCGAACAGG